rnacentral:rRNA from 1 species
UACAGAGGGUGCAAGCGUUGUUCGGAAUUAUUGGGCGUAAAGGGUGCGUAGGCGGUCGGGUAAGUCUGAUGUGAAAUCUCACAGCUUAACUGUGAAACUGCAUUGGAUACUAUCCGGCUCGAGGAAUGGAGGGGAGACUGGAAUUCCUGGUGUAGCAGUGAAAUGCGUAGAUAUCAGGAGGAACACCGAUGGCGAAGGCAGGUCUCUGGGCUGACACUGACGCUCAUGCACGAAAGCGUGGGGAGCAAACAGG